rnacentral:rRNA from 1 species
UAGGGAAUCUUCGGCAAUGGGGGCAACCCUGACCGAGCAACGCCGCGUGAGUGAAGAAGGUUUUCGGAUCGUAAAGCUCUGCUGUAAGAGAAGAACGUGUGUGAGAGUGGAAAGUUCACACAGUGACGGUAACUUACCAGAAAGGGACGGCUAACUACGUGCCAA